rnacentral:sRNA from 1 species
AUUAUUUAUGUGAUCGCUGAUCUGCUAGAUGGAUAUAGAAAGCACCAAGAAUUAUAAUAAUUUAUGGAGUGGAGCACUGGUUUACAAACAUAUUUCUCUGCCCGAGCUUUGUGUGUUUCUUUGCGUCUCGGGGCUCGUUCUGUGCAAUGGGAACGGAGAAUAUUCAGAAUUUGAAGACAAGCCCGGCGAGCCGACUGCAUUCAUAGCUAAAAUUAAAGGAAUAAGUGAGCAGCUAUUUGUGGCAGACAGGACAUGAUCCAUCUGUUUCCAGGUCUGGCGGGGGGCCGGGCUGCGGUGGCGGCAGCGGUGGGAGAUGCCGGGGCGGCCAGCGGAGGUCCAUGUGGCGCUCUAGGUGGGAUGCCGGCGUCCUGAAGGCGGAGGCCCUGGCCCUCCUCCCCUGCGGCCUGGGCAUGGCAUUCUCCCAGUCCCACGUGAUGGCCGCUCGGCGGCACCAGCACAGCCGGCUCAUCAUCGAGGUGGACGAGUACAGCUCCAACCCCACCCAGGCCUUCACCUUCUACAACAUCAACCAGGGCCGCUUCCAGCCACCGCAUGUGCAGAUGUAAGUGGGACCGGUG